UGGGGAAUCUUGCACAAUGGGGGCAACCCUGAUGCAGCGACGCCGCGUGAGCGAUGAAGCCCUUCGGGGCGUAAAGCUCUUUCGACCGGAACGAUAAUGACGGUACCGGGAGAAGAAGCUGCGGCUAACUACGUGCCAGCAGCCGCGGUAAUACGUAGGCAGCAAGCGUUGUUCGGAGUUACUGGGCGUAAAGAGUGCGUAGGCGGCUUUCUAAGUUCGGUGUGAAAUCUCCCGGCCUAACUGGGAGGGUGCGCCGAAGACUGGGAAGCUGGAGUGUGGGAAAGGCAGGCGGAAUUCCUGGUGUAGCGGUGAAAUGCGUAGAUAUCAGGAGGAACACCGGCGGUGUAGACGGCUUGCUAGACCAUAACUGACGCUGAGGCACGAAAGCGUGGGUAGCAAACA
rnacentral:rRNA from 1 species